rnacentral:rRNA from 1 species
UACAGAGGGUGCGAGCGUUGUUCGGAAUCACUGGGCGUAAAGGGUGCGUAGGCGGGUCUUUAAGUCAGGGGUGAAAUCCUGGAGCUCAACUCCAGAACUGCCUUUGAUACUGAGGAUCUUGAGUUCGGGAGAGGUGAGUGGAACUGCGAGUGUAGAGGUGAAAUUCGUAGAUAUUCGCAAGAACACCAGUGGCGAAGGCGGCUCACUGGCCCGGUACUGACGCUGAGGUGCGAAAGCGUGGGGAGCAAACAGG